GGUUUCAUAGUGUAGCAGUUAGCACAUCUGCUUUACACGUAGAAGGUCCUGUGUUCACAUCCCAGUGGAGCCA
rnacentral:tRNA from 1 species